CCUAGGGGGUGGGGGUCCCUCAGCCAGGAUUGAGAGAGGGCACAGGCCAGGCCGAGAGACCCCACCGUGCACC
rnacentral:pre_miRNA from 1 species